rnacentral:siRNA from 1 species
AACCAUGACUCCAACAGUGCUGCA